rnacentral:lncRNA from 1 species
GUGGAGCGCAGGGAGGGCGCGCAGCAAGGGCGGCCGCCGUUACGGCGCGGGCGUGGUCACGUGGCCGUCGGUCACCGCUGCCACCGCCCCCUCCCGCCCUGUUCUCUUUCUGGUCGGGUCGGGCCCGGCCGGCACCACGAGCGCCCUGCAGAGACUGAGGGAGAGAGAAAGAGGAGGGGAGGAGGAGGAGGAGGAUUCAGGGAGUAGGAGCUGGGGAGCCCUCCCGCGCCACAGAAAAUUAAAUUUCCAGAGACUUGGUGAAGAUAGGAAAACUAUCAGAAAGACUAUAGCACUAUUGUACUGUGAAAAAUCAGAAAAUUGCCUUCUUUUUUUCCUCUGCUAUUUUUGGUAUGCUAGAGGUCAUAUCGGAGUUAUAGCUGCCAGCCUAUACCACAGCCACAGGAACGUGAGAUCUGAGCCGAGUCUGUGACCUACACCACAACUCACGCAACGUCGGAUCCUUAACCCACUGAGUAGUCACUUUUGGUGACAGUGUCCAGUUCUCAAAAUGUAUCAUUCCUUAUCUGAAACUAGACAUCCUCUGCAGCCAGAAGAACAAGAAGUGGGCAUUGAUCCUUUGUCUAGCUACUUAAACAAGCCUGGAGG